rnacentral:lncRNA from 1 species
GGCGCUGUGUGUAGGCUGAGUGUGGGAAGGUGGCGAAUUGGUGCAGACAGAUCGGAGGUUUGGGGGAAUUUUUUCCUUUGCUUUCUUGGAGGAUGUGAAUGACUUCUCUGCAGACAGAUCACGGGGGAUCCUUUUGAGAAUUUGGGGUUAUGAACCCAACCCACUUAUUUUGAAAGGAUGCGGGUGCUGAGCUAUGGCAAAGGACAGAGGAUUGACCGGCAAUACCCAAGGAAAACGCUGAAAAUCACCUGGAACCACUUUGCUGUUAUUGUACCCAAGGAGAGAAAGUGCUAUUACGAUCCUCUUUCCCCCCUAGAGGCACCAGAUGUGUGGGAACAGAGAUCCUUUGAGUCUUUUUGAUUUUGAUGGUGGAACUACACACAAUUCUCCUAAUGUGAUCUGACCAGAGCAGAAUACAGCAGAACUGGGCUUUGGAUAAAUAUGGCAACAUAAAAAGUUCCAUCAAAACCCAGGGAUCCCAUAAAAUGUCACUAGGAAAAAAUGAAAAAGACCAGCAUAAAGAAAAAAAAUUCAUUAAAAUGCUCUGUCUCAUCCAAGACGAUAACUUAAAUAAACGUAAUUUGGUUUUGCUAUGAUUCUCCUUA